ACGAGGAGGAGAGGCUGUGAGCGGAGAGGAAGGGGUUUCCCCAAAACAUCUGGGGCUCUGUACGGCCAAGAGCCCCGUCCCACUGACAGCUGUGAGCACAGCUCAGAACUGCCGAAACCCCGAGCCCUGAAGUGACAUCCUCGUGUGCGUUUCGUAAUGUAAAAAGCACCACAGGCCAUGGUUCUGGCAUGGUGGGGACGCGGGGACCCUUCCUCCUCAGAAAAGUUAGAGCCAGAUGUGGCACACUCUGGGUAAGUGAGGCAAACAAGUACGACAUAAAAGGACUAAGCCCGAGGCAGGAAGGCCGGGGCCACAGUGCUCACAGAGCCAGGGCUAGGCGGGGGCCGCAGGAGCUGGAGUUCCUAGACCAGCAGGCCAGGGGACAGGAGCCCUAGGGAGAGGCCCCGCAGCCACACAGACGUACAGAUGCGAAGCGUUAGUGUACAGCCCACAGCUCUGCUUUCCCCCACCAGCGCCCCCAAGGAGGGUGGUAGAGGUCCGGGGGCAGAAGACCCCCUGCUCCCAUCUCAACAGGGCCAGAGCAAGCCCUCUGGGUAGGACAUUUCCCCCGGUGGGGCCCCAAGUUCUCCUCAAGCACGACCUUACACAACAUCACACAUCUGAGGAAGGGGCGGAGCAAAACCCUACGGAACCAGACACCCAAAGAUCGGCCGCAUCAGCUGCACCCAGCACGCACAUCUCUGCCCAGCAGGCGCCGUCAGUGUUUGCCGGAUGAGCAACUUUGCCAGAUGUCCUCGGGAAGGACCCAGGAGCAGCGGGGAAAAUCGGAGUCUUUUCGUGCCUUCUGUCAGAUGCUCUGACCUCACUAGGCGGGAGCACAUUUGAGAAGAUCAGAACAGAAACCCUCGUCAGCUGGGGGCAGCACCUGGGCACAGGAGGUAACACGAGGGACAUCUCCCCAAGGACAGACUGGGCGGGGGUGGGGAGCGGACUCCAUGCGACACCAAGAGGCCUCAGCCGCGGCCUCUCCUGAGCCCCUUGGGAGUUCACACAGGAGGGGACACCACUGCCAGGGGAUACUGCGUGACACAGGGCCAGGGUCAGAGGUCAGGAGCCCAAAGACGGGAACCACAGGCUUGUGCAAUUACAAAAUGCUUUUAUUUCAGUUCUGUAACACUUAGGUGUGCCUCAGAUUUUACUGAGGGUUUGGUCUUUCUGCACUGAAUUACAUCUUUUUUUUUUUCCGGUACCGGAAACUGAACUCAGGACUUAGUGCUUGGCAGACAGGCGCUGAGCCACUGCAUCCCGGCCCUCAAUUACAUCUUGUAACAGAGAUACGAAUUAGCAUCAACUGAUCAAGUGUCGCCAGUACUCAUGAUGUACAUUCUCUUGGAUUAUAUAUCUUAUCGUUACUUUUUAUUUAACUUUUACAAUUAUUUUUAAAGCUCCUUUAUAUAGAAAAUAUAUAUUCCUUUAGCAGAUCGAGACAAGAAAUUUUCAAUCAAUAUACUGAGAAAUAACAAAUAUAUUUAUACCAAAACAAAAGUGAUUCUGUUAAACUAUUCCCCUACAAUAAAAAUAAAAUAUCCAAUUAUAGACUAAUGAGUAGUUUCCACAACAAUAAGUAACUUUUGUAUUGUUCUUUUGACUAACAAGACAUUCAAACAAACAGUAGCAAUUUCAAGGUUUAAAAAAAUUGUGAUGAUUCCCCCACCAAAACACUACAGUAGGAAAUGCAAUUUCAACAUGUCAACUCUAGAAAAACAUUCCAAAAAAAUAUUUUUGAAAUUCUUUGUAUAAAAUGAAUUUGGUACAUCAUCAGUAUGAAGUAAACAUCUUUUACAAAAUAAAUGCAGGUAUCAUUGAUAUGCGAUCUGAAAGUAUCAGUGUGAAGAAAAAUACUUCAACGAGGUAAAGGCAAAUAAGAUCUCUCUAGUGCUUUCAGAUACUUACUUGUUAUCCCUAAAAUGAUAAUUAUUGUCCUAAAGGUGCAAAUCUUAUCACUCGGUGACCUAUAGGCUAUUUGACCAUUCAUCUCCUUUAAAUAAAACACCAGACAGGUUAUAACAUACACUGUAAAAGCAGCUAUGAAAGUACAUAUACUUGAGUGAGACAUACUAGUUUAAAUAUCCGCUAUCUUCCUAAGGCAGAGAUCUCAGAACGCUGUUUGGUCAUCUCGAUUAGGUGCUGAUGAAUUUGGUCAAGAGUACCCACAGUCAUAUUGGCCUCGGGCAGAUGCGAGGAUCGGCUGGAACA